GUCGUUUGAAAAUCACCUGCGGCUUUGGCCGUGGCCGUGGGUGAGAUUCGGCGCCUAGAGCCACCAGGAGCCUUAGCUCACCGCUCACUCUCGGUGUGGGGAGGUGAAACCCAGGCCCCGACACGC
ensembl:snoRNA